UGCAACAUCCAAGGCCACACAAGGAGGGACUACUGCAGGGAGAGAAAAGUGGUUAUGACUGGGACAGACUAAGCUAAGAGCAGCUGAGCAAAUGUUUGCAGGGAAAUCUGGAGGAACGAUUCUGCUAACUCACACAGCAUCUCCCAGUACCUGUCUCAAGUCUUCUGCAGUUGCUGACAGACAAUUACGGGAAAUUUUGCCAGUGUGAUUCAUGGUUUGAAUGCAAAUCAUUUGACAGACCAAGUAAUUGAGAGAAGCAAACGAAUGAUUCUGGAUACUCUUGGAGUGGGGCUUCUGGGUACCAGCACUGAGGUCUGCCACAAA